CCCAGGCAGCCUGCCACCUCUGAUCGUGUAUGGACGCGAAGAUUCAGAAUUCUGCUCCACCUCCCAGCUGGGGCCCCUGGCCACCCUCGAGGUGCAGGUUGUCUACCUUGACCAUGAUGAGCCACCUGCACCCAGUCCUGUCUGGGACUCAUGUUUCAAGUGCUGUGCCAAAGUCAAUGAGAGUGAAGCUACAGCCGGCAUCCAGCUCCAAGCUUCCUGCAUUCAGUCCUUUGAUGCCUCCAGCUGUGAUAUCUCAGAUGCUGCUGCUUGACAAUCCACAUAAAGAACCUAUCCGGUUACGGUAUAAGCUGACAUUCAACCAAGGUGGGCAGCCUUUCAGUGAAGUAGGAGAAGUGAAAGACUUUCCAGACCUGGCUGUCUUGGGUGCAGCCUAACUUUUCACAAGAUGGACCCUUCAGUUCAAGCUUAAGCCAGCGUUACUUUUGCUGUCUAGACUGGACUAAUCACGGUGUUUUAGUGCACA